UACGAAGGUCCCAAGCGUUGUUCGGAAUCACUGGGCGUAAAGGGAGCGUAGGCGGCGUGGUAAGUCAGAUGUGAAAUCCCGGGGCUCAACCCCGGAACUGCAUCCGAUACUGCCAUGCUAGAGGAUUGGAGAGGUAGCUGGAAUUCUUGGUGUAGCGGUGAAAUGCGCAGAUAUCAGGAGGAACACCGGUGGCGAAGGCGGGUCUCUGGGCCGUAACUGACGCUGAGGAGCGAAAGCGUGGGGGAGCGAACAGG
rnacentral:rRNA from 1 species